CAAAGUCCCUUCGUGAGUUGAGUUUUAAGUUUCCACAAACAACCUGCGAACUGCGAAGUGAUUAAGGUUUUGGUGGCAAUUCAACUCCUUUUUCUGGGCAUGGAAGCAUCUUCAUCCGUGUCUAAUAAGACCAUAACUAUAGAAGAAUGGAACGGUUCAUCACCCACAAAGCUCUCUAAGACUUUCACCAUCAAGGCUUCUUCUUCCUCUGUCACCAUUACAAGAUCUGGUGCCCGAUUUAGCCAUGUUUGGAGACGCUUACUUCAAGCUUUUGUCCCUGAGGGUUUUCCAAGCAGUGUGACUGCAGAUUAUGUUCCUUUUCAAAUAUGGGACUCAUUGCAGGGCCUUUCAACGUACAUAAGGACCAUGCUUUCUACCCAGGCUCUCCUGAGUGCUAUUGGGGUUGGUGAAAAAUCAGCUACUGUCAUUGGUGCUACUUUUCAGUGGUUUUUGAGGGAUCUAACAGGUAUGCUUGGAGGAAUCUUGUUCACUUUUUACCAGGGAUCAAAUCUUGAUAGCAAUGCAAAAAUGUGGCGUUUGGUUGCAGAUUUUAUGAAUGACCUUGGAAUGUUAAUGGACCUCAUUUCUCCAUUGUUUCCAUCAGCUUUUGUGUUUGUUGUUUGCUUGGGAAGCAUUUCAAGAUCUUUCACUGGUGUUGCUAGUGGAGCCACUAGAGCAGCUUUAACUCAGCAUUUUGCUCUUCAGGAUAAUGCUGCUGAUAUAUCUGCUAAGGAAGGAAGUCAAGAAACUGUGGCCACAAUGAUUGGCAUGGCCAUGGGUAUGCUUGUUGCUCGCAUUACCAUUGGAUACCCACUGGCCAUAUGGUUUUCAUUUCUAUCUUUGACAGUGUUUCACAUGUAUGCAAAUUACCGAGCUGUUCGAUGCCUGGCAUUGAACUCAAUAAACCCUGAAAGAAGCUCUAUUCUUUUGCAUCAUUUCAUGGAGACUGGCCAAGUUCUCUCCCCUGAACAGGUCUCUUCACAGGAGCAUGUUUUGCCCAUACGGUUCAUUUCAUGGAGCUCAAGGAAUUCUAAUUAUAUGCAUAAGAAAGUACGUUUAGGCAUGAGGAUUUCUUCAUUCGAUAACAUGGAAAUUAAGGAGCAUUUGCUUUAUGCGGCAUCUUACUACGCAAAAGCCAAGUAUAUACUUGUGGAAAGGAAGGGAAUCGUUGAUGUUAUUGUGCAUAAAGAUUCGAAUGCUGCUGAUGUCCUAAAGUCAUUCUUUCAUGCUCUGGUCUUGGCAAAGGAUGCUCAUAAAAGCAAAUCCUUGCAUUCAGAUGGCCAAAAGUGGGUUGAUAAUCAAUAUGAAUUAUUUAUUAAGAAGCUCAAGUCAUUAGGUUGGAAGACUGAACGGCUUCUAGCACCUAUAAUAUGGAGGGCGUACUGGAGCUAUGAACCAUUGGAAGAAAAAAUUGAUUAGGAAUCAAUUGUGUUAGGUAUGAAGCAACUUGUAUGGAAUUCGGUAAGUAGAUUUGAUGGCAAUUCAAUUUAGAAGGACACCAAAGCCAAUCUUAUGCUUACCUGUGCAGUAUUAUGAAGAAUGUGUACCAAAAAAGGAAGAGGAAGGAUUUACAAUCACGGAUUGUAUGGCAUUUGACAUGUUUUUACUUGAAGGACCAUUGAUUCAUCCCAACUUUUAGUCUCUUUUCUGGUUGUGGUCAAGCAGCUUUCCUAAUUAUUUAGGUCACCCAAUUCAGUGAACAAACAUACAUUUUCGUAUAAAACUGUUUAUUAUUGGAUGACAGCCCAGUUAAGGUGAAAAAUGUCCACCAUUAACAACCACUUCUUAACUAUAACCAUGUUAUACUUUUUUUAGAAGUUUGUUUCUACAUGUUUAGUUUUUCAUAUUAACCAGGGAUAUUCUUUGGCCAACAAACAAAGAU